rnacentral:lncRNA from 1 species
UAUUAUUAUGGGUAUUGACUAUUAUCACUAUUGAUUGUUUAUCAUUAAUAUAGUUAUUAUUGCUAUUAUUUGUCUAUUAUUAUGAUUAAUGUCAUUAUUAUUAUUUGAUUACUAUUGAUAUUAUUAUUGAUAUUAUUAUUUGUUUAUUUAUUAUUAUUAUUUCCAUUAUUACUAUUAUUAUUAUUAUUCAUCUUUUUUUUAUUAACUAUUAUCAUUACUAUAUUUAUUGAUUAUUAUUAUUAAUUUAUUGUUAUUAUUUAG